UUCUUUGGGUUCUUAGCUCUGACUAUCAUCAAGUCUAUCUAAUUUGCUCAUGCAUGUUUGAAAAUAGAAAUAAAUAUGUAUGUGACUUUUGAUCUUUGAUGCACAGAAUGCAUUUUCAGGUGACUUUAGAGCAAGUGCAGUAUUAGUACACCCAAAGUUGCACGAGCAUUUUCACCAAGUUGUUGUACAAAAGAGGUUUGCCUUUCAGGAAGAAAAAUUGCCAGGUUACUCAUGUUGGUGGUACAACUAAUACAAUAGGUGACUCUACAAUUGUGGAUAAAAUUUGAUUUUGAACACUCAAAUGAGAUCAUACAAAGCAUGAAUGAGGAUCAAGUCAGAGGAAAAGAGAUGAGGGCAUUUCUUUUACCAAAGAUCCACAACACAAAACAAUUGACGACCUUCUCAUUACUAACCUUUUAAGUAGGCACAUCCAACGGUCUGCUCACAGGUUAAAGUAUGCACUUUUAAUGGAACUCAGGUUACUCUUCAGACUCUAUUUGCGCUGCUGGGACCAUAUAGUGCAUAAGUUAAUCUAUCAUGUUGAUAUGUGUUGGAUCUUUCUGUGGCAUUCUUUUGUAGUACAGCAGAUCAGUAGGACUGCACGAUGGUAUGUGCUCUGCUUCUAAAAUGGGAGUCAUAUGGAUGGAGAAUCAAAUAAAUCAGACUCAAAAUCGCAUAUUGGACUAUCAUUAUAUUUUAUUUUCCUUCGGAAGUAGGUUUCUAUUUUAUCAGUAUCAUAGGUAUCCACUACAUUCGCAGACUGUUCCAUUCCCAGGUGGUUCAAUGUCAAACUGAUGUCCUAUUCAUUAAUUUGCAUUUGUAGUGCCCAAAUCAGGUUUAAGCCCUUGCAGUAGCGCGUGUAAUUCAGUAUUGAGUAUUAGUUAUUUUCAUACUGAUCAUUUUUAUUACUCCUCUGCAUUCUAUUUUCACUUACUUAUUUCAUUUCAACUGUAACUCUUAGCCUGCGUUGGAGUGGUAAUU